CUGCAAAUUAUCCAGGGCCUGUCAAUCCAAAAGGGAUCGCACAUGUCCUCGCGUUUUAAUUUUUUUUUAAAUUGUCUCUAUCGAAAUGAAUCCAUGAGGAAUGACAGGAAAACAAAGUCUAGGAGCCUUUAGAAGGGAAUCGGUCCUGCAGGCCCUGGACACCAGAGUUCGGAAACGGAACUUGAUUUUCGGUCAGCUGGUGUUCCCGCUCUGCGGCCUUCCAUCUCCAUUUCUUCUCCUCUGAGGCCCUCCAUCUCCAUUCAGGGUGGGAUUCGGGUUCUUCUCCCUGUCUGGGGACCGUAUCUGACUGACACUUCAGUGCUCUGGUCGCUCAGAAGUUUUUGAGUCAGCGACUCCAUCCAGACUUCCUAGUCGCAAGUCUCUGCCGUAGCUGUCACAGGGGUACGUGGAUUUCAGUGGCCCUGGCUGGGCACGCAGUCCUGAGAGAAGACUAAACACUCGUAAAGGUUAAACGGUAUCUGUGUUCCAAAUGUAAUUCUAGGGGGAAAAAAUCUUAUGACAGUGGAAAGGGGCGUGUCAGAGGCACCUGCUGUGAGAAGUCUCACCCCAGAGAUUCUUGUUCCAAAUAAAUUUGCCAAAAUAGUAACAAAUCUGGGAGGGAGGGGCGUUUCAUGUUUCUGUGUCAAGCAAUAGUAGUGUAAAAUUGGGUAAUAAAUUCCCAAGAGGAAAAUAGUUUGUAAGGUGGGUGUUUCCAGUUAGAGGAAGGAAAAGAAAUACUGGAGACCUAAUAAGAUUUAUGAUUUACGUCAACAUAUAGUUUGGUAAAGUUGCGAAACACUAAGGUUGAAGAUUUAUGCCCACAUCGUGUUAGAAAGAGAAGGAAACUGUGACAGUCACCCUAGGAUCCUCGGUGGCGUCCAAUGACAGCAAUAUCUACAAAAGGCUAAAAAAAUAAGGCACGGUUUAAUGUGAUUAUGCUGCCGAACUGGAACAUAUACAGGCCAGACGCUAUUGCUCCUGAUUGGGAGGGGCUCAAAAAUUAUCCAAGAAGAACCCUUACUAAAAAUUUUCUCGGGUAGCCUCAGAACUGAGUCAUAGGCUAAAAGCACUGGCUAUUCUUCCGAGGACCCAGGUUUAACUCCCAGCAUCCACGUGGAAGCUUCCAACCAUCUGGAAUGCCAGUUCCGGGGGAUCUGAUGCUGUCUUCUGGCUCACCGGAUUCCAGGUGCACAGGCGGUGCUCAGACAUGCUGGAAAAACACCCACGCACAUAAAAAAAAAAAAACCCGACAAAAACCCCCUCUUUGG